UACGGGGGGGGCAAGCGUUGUCCGGAAUCACUGGGCGUAAAGGGCGCGUAGGCGGCUCGGUAAGUAGGGGGUGAAAUCCUGCGGCUUAACCGCAGGGCUGCCUUCUAAACUGUCGAGCUCGAGCACGGUAGAGGCAGAUGGAAUUCCCGGUGUAGCGGUGGAAUGCGUAGAGAUCGGAAGAAGCAUCAGUGGCGAAGGCGGUCUGCUGGGCCGUUGCUGACGCUGAGGCGCGACAGCGUGGGGAGCAAACAGG
rnacentral:rRNA from 1 species